UGUGGGAGCGAGCCUGCUCGCGAUGGCGGUCUGUCAGCCAACAUUGAUGUCGCUGAUCCACCGCUAUCGCGAGCAGGCUCGCUCCCACA
rnacentral:misc_RNA from 1 species